UACAGAGGCCCCAAGCGUUACUGAGAAUCACUGGGUUUAAAGGGUGCGUAGGUGGCGCGUUAAGUCCGUUGUGAAAUCCCUGGGCUCAACCCAGGAAUUGCUUCGGAUACUGGCGUGCUUGAGGCUAGUAGGGGUCACUGGAACUUACGGUGGAGCGGUGAAAUGCGUUGAUAUCGUAAGGAACACCUGUGGCGAAAGCGGCUCACUGGCCCGGUACUGACGCUGAGGUGCGAAAGCGUGGGGAGCAAACAGG
rnacentral:rRNA from 1 species